CCAGGACGGAGCAGGGAGAGGAUGGUUGGAAGCCAUCUGGUGUUUGAGUACCCACUGAGGCUAAGCAGGCACUACAGUUCGCCCUUGACUCCCCCAGUCUGGGUUUGCUGUCACUGACCAGCGAUGGGGAGAAGAGCUCAUGUCCUCUUCCUUGCCUCUUACAGAUGAGGUGCUGGAUGCUCAGCGCUUUUCCCUUUCCUAUGGCUGAAUGUCGGCUGAUGCUGUUUGCUAAACAAGAGUGCCGGUGGCAGAGGAAUUAGAAGAAAUCCCUUCUUAAUUGGAAACAGGACAAAUCCAGGCAAACGGGUGCUGAGCCAGCAACAGCAUGGGACCAGCUCGCCUUCUGUGGGUAUCAUUGAAAUUCAGCAUCCUUCACUGCCUCAAACAUUGAGGUCCUGCAGGUAUGACUUUGCUUCAUGUGGAUCUCCAAAGUUGCUAAAGAUGCUAAUGAACCUCUACUGUAAGGUCUGAAAUCAUCCAGGAUGACAGCAGAUCUUUCCCAAAGGCUGCCCAGGUCAGGAAGGGGGGGAACUGCAGAGGCAAAGCAGGAGGAAGUAAGAAGGAUGCUUGUCCCAGUGCCCUACUCAACUACCUUCUCUGGCGUGGCUUUGAGGGGGGCCCAGAGGUGGAAGGAGUGGAAAUCUGGCUCCAGGUGGCAGUCCUGAUUUGCAUGUCCACUCUUUGGAGCUCCCAAGCACCUCCUUAGGCAGUUGACCUGAUCACAGGUAGUGGGGUACUGAGCCACGUUGGAGCCUUGCUAUUGUAGCUGCAGCAUACUCUGGGGAGAAAAAUAUGGAAGGGGGAGGCUUGUAUCUCCUUGGAAAAAGCUGGGGUGUGCAUUUGGCUUUCUCCUCUGAGUAUUCUUGUUUUGCCUCUGAGCCGCCCCCUCC
rnacentral:lncRNA from 1 species